ACCAUCUACAUUAAAAGUUUUUCACACUAUCAUAAAAUUUUUGAAAAAUAUCCCCAAAACAUCUAAUCCAUACAUAUAUUUCCAUUGCAUGGGCUCAUUUUUUUCUGGGCUUAACGAGGGUUGGAUCACUCUCUGUCCAACUUUAUUAGUAGGGGAAUCAGGUCCAGUCCGCUUUUAUUGGCCACUUUAUUUUGGUGGGAGUGGGGGACGGCAACCGGAAUAAUAAUGACACGGUCUUCCUGGUGCGGGCUGCAAGCAAUGCGCGUAACUCCGACUGCUGCACAUUGGACGCCUUGGCAAUGGCACAUGACCUAUGGAUCCACCGCCUCCAUCUUUAGGAGCAGAGUUUGCAGGAAAAAAACUUAGGAGAGAAUAAAACUUUUAUUAAAACAAUUUAGGGAAGAAGAAACUCUCACUAGGAGAUUUUAUUAGAGAAGAAUCUAUCAUUAGAAAAUUCUACAAAAGAAUUUAUUGCUACAAUAGAAACUAAAAAAAUUAAAGAGAGGACUCCCUUUUAUGGAAAAAGACCAAAUUUGUCUGAUCUCUCUUCCAUGAAAAAGGCAGAGAAGAUUUAGAGAGAACGAGGAAAAUAGUUCAAUUUCCUUCUACUCUAAUUCCCAAAUCAACAACUUUCAUGCAUCAAUGACUUGUACUAUUAUCAUCAUAGUUUAUGGGAAGUGUAUCCAAUUUAGAUGAAUGUUUUCGAUUAAAGCAAACUCACUGCUGAGCAAUUUUUUUUUAAAAAAACUGUCAAUAAGAAAGAUGUAUACUUACCGCUGCCGCCAAGUGUCCGUCCAGAGACAGCGGGUUGGACUAAAAUGAUGGAAAUUAUCAAAAGCCAGAAGAAGAUGAAAGGUCUUGCUCGUCAUUUAUAUGUUUAUUUCUAUGUGGCUGUCUCAAAACUUGUACAAGCUCUAGUGUUAUGUUACAUAUAUGAUUGAGAUUCGGAGAAAGACUUGAAAGGAUAAGGCUACGUGAACCUUAUGACAAAGUCUUGUGUAGCUGCUGUUUUAUUUGACCCCAUAUAUCACAAAUGAAAUUAGACUUUAAAGACUUGCUUACUCAAUCAACCUCAAUUCACUCAAAUGUUGAAAUCAAUGUUCCAUAAACAUCCAAUGAGAAAUUUAGGGGUAAUUGACAUCAAAGUUUUCGAAACAAAACAUUACAAAACAAGUUUGACCAUUCGGCUAAGAGAAAAAGAAAAGUUUUCCAAAUUUGAAAAGCAAAUUUUAGGACAUCAUUUGGGUAUCGAAAGGUUGUUGAAAUAACACCAAAUUUUGUACACUUAAACCUCUAUAUGUGGACGACCCCUGUAUCAAACUUCACGCAAAAAAUUACGUGGAAGGCAGUUAACAAAACGACUGAAUUUCGUAAAAUGUUUCAAAGCAAAUCUGUCUUCUUGCUUACCUUUCUUUUCAAAACAUUUUGCACCAUGAAAUCAGUCUCAUUUUGGUUCAUUUUUGAAACCAAGGUCCAAGAAACAUUUAACAAGUAAUUGGUAGUCAAUUGACAUCAAAAUUUACAAAGCAAAGCAUCCCUCAAUUAGCCUAACCAUUCGGCCAACACAAGAAUGGGGUUUCCAGCUCUGCUGCAGUUUACAAAUUGUACCAUAUCUCACUCAAUACAACUUGGAAUUGAGAAUGGUCAGUGGCGUUGGAAACUAGGUUCAAUAUACUUCAUUUCAUCAGAAGAAAACAUUUCGAAAAUCAGUUCACAAGUAGUUUGAAUUCAAGCCAAAAGUUAUAGCUUCUCAUGUCCAUUCGAAUGGGACUGGCAGAACAGAACAGCUGACUUUAUCAGUUCACUGCAGUUCACACAAAACGAACUAGACAAUGAUUUUUAUACCGUUUUAAACCUAAGAAUGUCUAGUUUCAAAUUUCGCAAAUGGCACUCGAUUUCGACUUUUGUACAAAAAGUUAUGUUCAACCAAAGAUACACUAUUCAGGCCUUCGGAUGACCAUUUCCAGAUUUCUUGCAGUUUCGAAAAUUCUAGUUUUGAUUAACCAAAUGACAUGAUUUUCGGACAACACUUUGUACACACAAUAUACCACAUAUAACCAUCAAUUUCACAGCAAAAUAAGUACCAAAAAUUCGAAAUGAAAACAAAGCAACAAUGGACAGAAUUUCGGCCAUCUUGUUUCUCACGGUUUGCCAACAUAUCAUAUCUACUAUCCAGAUAAAUCAUUGUAACCCAAUAGAUUUAUGCAUUUUUCCUACAGUCAAAGAUAUGAUUAAAAACUGGUUCAACUUCAAAGAGAAGUUUAGAUCCAAUAAUAAUAAAUGGAAAAAUUGCAAAUUUUAGAAACUAGAUCUACAAAAUCUCAAAUUUCACAGAAAAUGACAAAAACUGAAAAAAAAAACCUCAUAAGGAAAAAAACUUAGGAGAGAAUAAAACUUUUAUUAAAACAAUUUAGGGAAGAAGAAACUCUCACUAGGAGAUUUUAUGAGAGAAGAAUCUAUCAUUAGAAAAUUCUACAAAAGAAACUAAAAAAAUUAAAGAGAGGACUCCCUUUUAUGGAAAAAGACCAAAUUUGUCUGAUCUCUCUUCCAUGAAAAAGGCAGAGAAGAUUUUGAUUAGAGAAGUUUUAGAGAGAACAAGGAAAAUAGUUCAAUUUCCUUCAACUCUAAUUCCCAAAUCAACAACUUUCAUGCAUCAAUGACUUGUACUAUCAUCAUCAUAGUUUAUGGGAAGUGUAUCCAAUUUAGAUGAAUGUUUUCGAUUAAAGCAAACUCACUGCUGAGCAAUUUCAAAAAAAACUGUCAAUAAGAAAGAUGUAUACUUACCGCUGCCGCCAAGUGUCCGUCCAGAGAGAGCGGGUUGGACUAAAAUGAUGGAAAUUAUCAAAAGCCAGAAGAAGAUGAACAUAGGAGAAGCAAAAGUCUUGCUCGUCAUUGUUUAUUUCUAUGUGGCUGUCUCAAAACUUGUACAAGCUCUAGUGUUACAUAUAUGAUUGAGAUUCGGAGAAAGAUUUGAAAGGAUAAGGCUACGUGAACCUUGUGAAAAAGUCUUGUGUAGCUGCUGUUUUAUUUGACCCCAUAUAUCAGAAAUGAAAUUAGACUUUAAAGACUUGCAUGGGUCUUCUACUCUUUUCUGUGGCGUCCUUCUGUCACACCAUAUUAGACGCCUGUGGACUAGAAGUCCUAAUUCCUUAUUCUGGAGUCUUGUGCUUGAAAGAGACUUGAGUGAAAAUUUUUGAGGUAAGCUCAAUUCGUCAUGAAAUAAAAAUUGUUGUCACUUCUCUUAUAAACUUUGCAAGUGUCAAGUGUAAUCUAAGAGGACGAGUGAAUUAAGUUGUAUAAAAACUAGAUAAGUUAUGGCAGAUUUUAUCUAAUUUUAACUAACCAAAUUUAUCUAAAUGAUCACAAACUAAAGCGACUAAGUAGAAAACAAUAAAGAUGAGGCAAGUAUAGCACCUAAAUGAGCAAACAAUGAGCAAUAUAUUAAAAUAAAGUAAACCAAAUGAAAUUGAUACAAGCUUCUCCAAGAUUGAAGUUGAUCCAUUAAAAAAGUUCUUCAAAAUUGGUGAAACAAUAUGCCACUUUGUACAAAUAAAUGAUUACCUUUACUCGCAUUAAUUUCUCCUUAGUUGAGUCAAAAGUUUUACACUUCCUAUAUAUCUAACCUUUCCAAGGUAAAAUUGAAUUGCUCACAAUUACAAUGAAGAAUUUUACAAGCUUUUCAACCUCAUAAAAAACUACAAGUGAACAAGAAAGAGUAUUUUUUUUUACCAAAAUUACUCUAGAGAGCUUAUAAUUGAUAUAGACAAAAUUUCUGAAUAAGUUUAGACUUUAUGGUAUUUAUAGGACCCCAAAAAUUGGUCCAAAAUGCCCUCUAAUAAUCAAGCAUUUAAUGCAGGAAAAACUAGCUGUUGAAACUAUCACAUUUCUGUUCGUUAUGCUAGCGUUCGAUACAAUCGUUCAAUCAAGGAUGAGAAGCUUUGUUGUGUAGAUGUUCGGAUGGCCAAUGCAAGUUCUCCUUUGUCCAAGAGUCCAUCUGACGGAUGACCAGAGUAUAGCCCUUUGUCCGAGAGAUUCGUUCAAUCAAUAUUGAUAUUUGCUCUUCCAUGUUUGGACAGCCGAUCCUUGUUUCUUGUGUUCAAAAGUGUGUCCGAAGAUGGAUGUAGUUCCUUGAAAGGUUGCUUUGUACGUCCAAUCCUCGAAGGUCUGUUUGAAGCUGCGUCCAACAGAUUGCGACACCGUUCCUUUAUUCUUGCUUUUGUUUUGUUUUCUUUUCUUUUUUCCCUAGUGAUUGAGCACCUGUUCUAUCAGAAUUCUCAUUGGAAAAUAUUAGUUCAAAUCAUCAUUUUGACUUGUUAAUCAUCGUAACAAAGGAUUGAGGGACUGAAGUCUUCAAAGUUAUUGGGGAUUUUGUAUUCUUAAUUUCUUAGUAGACAUAUAUUUGGCUAUUCGAUGUAAACCCAUUGGGUUGAAAAAUAAGAUGUGCUCCAGCAUCCCGUAUUUGUUCAUGGUAAUUAGGAGUUGUGGGAUCAUACCGGUGAUGGUAUUGAGGUAUAAGACGUAUUAAAUAUCUUUUACUUAUUGUUUUAGACGUUUUAUCUACUGUAAUUCCUCAGUUGAUAAAACUUGAACAUUUCACUUAAAAAGACGCUUGGCUUCAAUUCACUAGCACAAAUUUUGGCCUAAUUUCCAAGGAUGAUAUACCUCCGAAAUGGAUAAAUUAAGCGGUCCAUUUAGUGAAAAACUCGUACGACUUUCAUGACGUUCGUGGAUGGCUAACCUUUCUAAAUCCAAAUCUAGCGCUUUCAACUAAAUGAAACUUGUGCGGUCUCUGCCAAAAUGAAGGUACCAAUAAUCUUUAAAGUGAGGCUGGGAUCAUUUUAUUUUUCAUUGGUUACUUAAAAAAAAAAAGAAUUAAAGUUUGAAGUUUCGACUAGAGGAUGGUUGUCCACUUUCCACUGCUAGUUUGUUUUAGACGUUUUAUCUACUGUAAUUCCUCAGUUGAUAAAACUUGGAUAUUUCACUUAAAAAGACGCUUGGAUUCAAUUCGCUAGCACAAAUUUUGGCAUAAUUUCCAAGGAAAGAACUAAUCAAGUGUAAAGUUAUAAGCUAAACAACAUGAUUAGAGGUUGGCUCUGAUACCACAUAUAAAACUAAUUAUUUACACAUGAAUGUACUAGGCAGCAGAAAUCUAAAUAACCUUACCUCCAACGAUUGUCAUCAAGUACAAAUUAAUCCCGUAUGCCUCCUUUUCUCCUUGCCUCCUUAUCUAUUUUAACAACAUAAAAUAUGUAAAGAAGAAUUUGGAAUGAAGGAACUUCUAACCUAUGUCUAAUCAAAGAGACUGUAUUGUAGAUGGAAUAUCACGGGCUUUUUUUAGGUUAGGUUAGGAACCCUUAUUGGUAAAUAUCAAAUCCUUGGGGUUUCCUUCUAUCAAGGAAAUGUUACUAUAAAUCAUAAUUUUAGAAUAAUAUAUAUGACUAAUUGAUGGAUUUGAUUAAUUGCAAUAUUAAUUAACAUAAGAUAUUAAUCAAUCAUCUUAUAUUACUAAUCCCUUACAAGAAAAAUGAAACAACGAGGCUACUGAUUCUUCAAACUAAAACGAAUGUAGAGGUAACAAUACUAACCCCUUACUGGCUGACUUAAGUUACUAACAUUAUGGGCCGAAUCCAAUGUGGCCAACCUCACUAAUUCACAAUGCAACUUAUUAUACUAACCAAUAUAUUAAUGAUGCAUGGCCUCAACUAACAUAUAACCAAAUAAACAAAUUACUAAGUUUGGUUUAUAUUAUCCCACAAUGCCUCCCUUAAACCAAACUCCUAUAAUCUUGAUAUAUCCAACAUCUUCGUCAACUUGACAAAAGUCUCCAUCUUCAACGCCUUGGUGAAAAUGUCAGCCAUUUGCUCUUUAGUUCUGCAAUAAUCAACUUGAAGCUCCUUUCGAACCAACUCACGCGUGAUGUGAUAUUUGAUAUCUAAGUGUUUACUGUGCUCACGGAGAACCGAAUUCUUAGACAAUUCAACAGCCAACUUACUAUCACAAUAAAUGUUCGUAGGACCAAUUUGCUUUUGCUGUAGAAUGCUAACUAUGCGAUGUAACCAUAAAACUUGAGUUGCACUAUUAGCUACUGCAAUAUACUCCGCCUCUGUAGCAGACAAUGCAAUUAUCUGUUGUUUCUUAGAACUCCAAGAAAACACUCUUGAGUCAAUAAAAAUGCAUGCCCUGAAGUACUCUUCCUCUCAACUGUAUCACCUACCUAAUUACUAUCUGUAUAGCCAAACAACUCAAUUGGAUCAUUUCCUGAAUAAAAAUACUAUCACUCUGAGUGCCUUCAAUUCACCCCAAAAUCCUCUUAGCCGCCUGCAAAUAUGAUUGACUUGGAUAUUCCAUGAAUUUGCUAAUUAAUCAACCCAACAACAAAAUUGGUCUUUGGUCUCGUAGAUGUCAGAUACCUCAAACUCCCUACCAAACUUUUAAAGUAGGUAGGAUUCACAUAUCCACCAACAUUCUUCUUGGUCAAGCUCAUGGAGUUAGAAUUGGCUUAACUGCAUCCAACUUGAACUUCUUUAUGAUAUCACUUGCAUAUUUCUUUUGAGAAAUAAAAAUCCCACUAUUAGACUUAAAAACUUCAAUUCCCAAGAAAUAUGACAUAAGUCCCAUGUAUGUCAUUUCAAAUUGCUUAAUCAUAGACGUCCUGAACUGUGCAAUCGUUUUCAAAUUAUUUUUUGUAAAAUCAUAGCAUUUACAUAUAUGCACAUAAUAAGAAUAUCACACCGCAGAAGAUUGAAAAUAUAAAAUGUGCUCAUAUAGACAUUUCUGAAAAUCACGAGCAAGAAAAUAAGAGUCAAUCCUCGUAUACCACUGGAUUUAAACUUUGUCUUGUACACCGACUUCACUCUAAUGAUUUUUUUACCAGUUGAAAGAAAAGUAAGUUUUCAAGUAUCAUUCUUCUUAAUUACAUGAAUUUCUUUCUCCAUUGCUUUCAUCCAACGAUCAUCAUGGGCUACCUCCUCAUACAUCAUAGGAUCACAAUUUGCAAACAAAGCAAAAUUAACUAUAUUUUCAUCGGAAGGAAUAUCAUCUGGUAUAAUCACAUAAUCUUGCAAAUGAGCUGGCAUCUGUAGCUGACGCUGUGGACGUCCAAUUAACUCAAUCUUUGGACCCUGAGCAACUGGUAAUGGCUGAAUAUCAUUAUUAACCUCCUCUUAUUGAUAAUUUACUGUUACCGUGACGCCCCCACUUCUGCCAAGGGCGAACCCAUGGGAAUCAGUGGAACGCCUGCCUAGCUCUUGGCAAGACUCAAUACGAAUCCAAUUCAAAUUUAAGGAUAACAACCAAAGAAUAAAAGUCGAAAUAAAGAAAAGUCACUUCCUUAAAUAAACUUUCAAGUUUUACAACACAAGUUCUCAAAAGUACAACAGCUUUCCCAAAAUAUAACCAUUAUCAGUCGACUAGUCAAUUACACCCCAAGAUUUUUAAUCAAAAUAGUCAAGUCGACUUCCUCAAAAAUUCUUUCCAAUCCGAACUCCUGUUAAGGAAAACAAAACUAAUGGGAUGAGCGAUUUCGCUCAGUGAGACCAAGAAAACAUGCAAACACAUAGUUCCAAUAACAAUAACACUUACACGGAAAGUAAAUCAAUAAAGUUCAAGUAAUUCAUAAUUUAAUAAUAAACACACUUAAUAAGGAUACAGGAGCUCUCAGGAGCUAUAUUCCACUUGCUUUGCCGAUGCUCGAUCUAAUACCUCCACGUGAUGACACUCCGUCAACCGGGUAGGUAUUAAGUCCGUAGAACUCCGCUUAUUUUGUACGCCCGUUCACCUUUACACCCCCUGCUCAGGGCCCGCACUUCUUUUAUAUAAGGCAAUACUACUAGAGUAUGCCAAGCAAGAUCUCUCAAAUAAAUCAAGCUUAUGAUUUUUUUCUCAUGGCUCACCAAGCUUCACAACCAAGCCCAUGCCGGCUCGAGUCGUAAGGUCGGCCAAUGAGUUUGGGGGUCCCCCACUAUUAUAAUAUAAGUCGAUGAGAUUCACUCCAAUCGACAUAUGCAAACAUAGCAUAAUUCACUAUUGUAACACUUCAUUUACUUCACUUAGCAAAUUCACUUCAUAUAAUUCAAAUAUAAUUCACUUAAAAGAGAAUGAGUGCGAUAAAGUACACACUCGUCUCGAUAAUUCCAAAAUACUCAAUUAAUGAGAAACAAUUUAUGCACUUAGCAACACUUUAUACUUGACACUCACCAAUUCAAAACAAAUGAGUAAAGAAAGUCUUUAGUGAUCUGCUCCGAGAUUCUCCUCAAGACCCUCUUGAUCGCCUGAAGAAAAAUGACCAAUAAUCAUUCUCAUACAUUCAUAAUCCCUUAUCAAACAAGGAAGAAUGUACACUUGCUUAAAAUUAAGAUAACGUCGUAAAAGAGCUUCACUCUACUAAAAUUCAAGAUUCAACUCUUAAGAAAUCAGAAAAUUUCAGCUUUGCGCGACAAAACUUAGAAAAUUAGAUCUCUUGUUUGGUAUGUCCAAAAAUAGAAAACUUUAUACCGUUGGAAACUAGAUCCAAAGUACUAAAAGUUCCCAGAAGAAACUUUUCCAAGAUUCCAAACAGAAAGCAUUCAUUUUUCAGCUCAAAUUUUCUGAUUCAUAAAGACAAGACAGAACCAGUCUUGGUUUUCAGUGGUGUUUGGAAAUUCGGCAAAAUUCACAGAAAGUGAAUUAGCCUCUGAAAUUUGUGACACAAUAAGAGUCCCAUACAAAGUUUCAAAACAAGCAGAACUAAAUUCGGAGUUUUGAGUAACAAGAUAUAGCAGUUUGAAGUAGGUUGGUUUUUGUAAUCUGAUCAGUGAAUUUCCAGAUUUGAAGAGAAAUCUUUGAGGCAUUAUUUGAGCAUCGAAAUGGUAUUGGAAUUACACCAAAUUUGGCACACUUGAACUUCCAUACAUGGACUGCUUCUCUAAAAAAAUUUAGGCAAAAACUCACAUGGGAAGGCAGUUUACGAAAUGACCAAAAUUUGUGAAUUAUUUCAAGGCUAAUCUGCCAUCCCACUUCUCUUUGCUUUUCAAAAGUUUGGUCCAAUGAAAUCAGUCCCAAUUCACUCCAUUUUUGACACCAAGAUUCCAAAAACAUUUAAUAAGCAAUUGACAAGCAAUUGACACUAAAAUUUUUGAAGUAUAACAUCCCAAAACAGAUUUGACCAUUCAGCCAACAAGGAAGAGAAAAUUUUCCAGUUUCCAGCUUUGUCACAUUUUUGAAAUCAAACUAUAUCUAGCUCUAUACAACUCCAAAUUGGGAAUGGUUUAUGGUGUUGGAAACUAGAUUCAAAAUUCUACAAUUCAUCAGAAGGCAUCGUUUUGAAAAUCUUUUCACAAGUAGAACAAAAUAGAGUUACAAGGUGCAGCUUCCCAGUUUCAUUCGAAUAAACAGCCAAAACAGAACAGCCGACUUUGCCGACUCGCUACGGUUCACUCAAAAUGAACCAGCAGGGAAUUUUUAUACCGUUGAAAAGCUAUAAAUGUCUAGUUUUGAAUGCUGCUAACGGGACUCAAUUUUGACUUUUGUACAGAGAGUUACGUUCAGUCAAAGAAGCACUGUCUGAGUACCCCUGCUAGGCGUUUUCCAGAUUUGAAACUUUUCCAAAACUGAAGUUUUGUGCAACCAUUCUACACGAUUUUUGAAAGGUACUUUGUACACACAAUAUACAACAUAUAUCCAUCAAUUUAACAGUCAACUAAGCAUCAAAAUUUCGAAACUAAAACAGAACAACAUGACCAGAAUUUCGGCCAGCUUCCUUUCGCAAUUUCCUCCAACUUUUUCUCCACUUUCUAACCGUAAUCAAGCUAUAUAUCACAUAAACAACCACAAUCAAACAAUCAAGCCUCAAGUCAAGUACCUAGAGUCCUCAUCAGGAUAGCUAGCCUAUGAUUUAAAGUGGAAAUAAUAGGUUCCUCAAGUCCGCUAGCCUAUGAGUGCAAUUAGGGUUUCAAACCCAUGAAGAUUAUCCGUUAAACUUCUUAUAAUUUGAAAGAGAAAAGAGGUGGAAUGGUUACCCUUUAAACCCUUGAAGAAAAUCAGAUUUUCCACCAAAAUUUCAUUCAAGAAAUUCCACAAGAUUGCUUCUUACUCCAAGCUAGAAUGAAUCUCCAAGAAACUAGAAAGUUGGAUGAUGAUUUGUAGACAAAAUGGAAGCUAAAGGAAAUGGAGAUUUUCUUUCCUUUCUUUCUUGGUUGGUCGGCUGAAUGGAGAGGAGAAAGAUGAGGGUUUGAGUGUUUAGCUUGUGAGGAAAGAAUGAAGGAAAGUUGCUUUAAGUUGGGUGCAAAAAGUCAACUUUGAAUAGUUGUCGAAAUAGUGUCGUGCACUACAGAUUCCUCUCUUGUUUGGUACACUUAUGCACUAAUCCUCCAAUAACAUUGUAAUUACUCACACUUACAAGUCUAGUAUUAAUUCCUCAAGUUUCUAAUUAGUCGGGCGAUAUGAUUUUAGAGAAAUUUGUGACGCGCGCGCGAUAAGGCGAAAAUUUAAAAUAAAUUCAUGCAACUAAAAUAUAAUGUAAUCCCCGAUGCAACCCAAUGAGUACAAACAAUUUCACAAUGAUGCACAAAGAUAUAUCAAAUUUAAGCACAAUAAAGAAAACUUAAUUAAAGAGAAAAGAUAAGAAAUGCAAACCAAAUAUCAAUCCAAUAGCCUCUUCAAUAGAUGGCGAUGCUAACCAAGAUGUACAUGUGAAGGCUCACUCCUUCCUCACCCCAAACACACUUUGGUUGAGCCAAGGAGUUUUACAACUAUUCUAGUUAACCCUCAACAACCUACACUUGAAAGAUCACUCACCCAAAUAAGAACUAUUUUAUACAAAUGAGGCAACCUUCACCAAGGUUUUACCACUCCAAGUGAUAAGUUCACCUUCACCAAGGUUUUACUCCUCCUAGAGAGUAACCUUCACUUGAGCAACCUCACAACCCAACUUCCCCAACCCCUUAUACAACCAACAAAGAAUCUUUCUACUAAAAAACCUCACUUGUAAGCUUGUAUUUUGUGUUGGCAAAAGUCUCUUGUCUUCUUGUGCUUUGGGGUAUUUAUAGAAGGUGAGAAAUGGCUUCAAAAGGCUCUCUAAUGGUCAAAUAUUAAAUGCUGUCAAAACUAGCCGUUGGCCUGUCGGACGUCCGAACCACCUGUCGAACGUCCGAACCCUGCGUCCAAACCACCUGUCGGACGUCCGAACCCUGCGUCCGAACGUUGACAGAGAGUCAUCAAAUCUUUGCGAAAUUUCUCGGACGUCCGAUGCGAUCGAUGUGCGUCCGAGGCGUGGGUCCGAUGCUUCCGGACGUCCGAUGCUUCCUCACGAGCGUCCGACAGAGUUUCCUUUUUGAUGUUCUUCAUCCUUUCGGACGUCCGAUAGCUUCCUUUCGGACGUCCCACAUGAGUGCCCUGUUUUUGCUUUUUCUAACAAAUUGCUCACAUAAAAACAUUAGCCCAAAUCUACAUUUUGGUUUGUUAAUCAUCAAAACCAAGGAUUGAUCGACCAAGGUCAACAAUCUCCCCCUUUUUGAUGAUGACAAACAAAAUGAAGAUUUCUUUUAUCAAAUAAGUUCAAAUAAAGCUCCCCCUUAGAAAGUGCCAACAUACAAAGAAAUUUCAAUAAAUCCUACUCCCCCUUUUGGCAUCAAUCAAAAACAAACUCCCCCUUUAUUUUUCAAAUCAAGACCAUAUUGAAUAUCAAAAUUUUCAAUUGUACUUACAACCAUAUAGCACUUCUUGGAUCAAAUCUUCAUGAUGUACCUAAAUAUGAGAAAUUUCAUUUGGUACCCUUUCUUUAUAGGGUCCUUGGGAGUUAAUACAACAUGAUCUAGCAAUCCACAUGGAUUUCAUACCUUUUCUCAUAUUUUUCUUUACAUAGCAAUCAUUUUGCAUAUGUCCAAAUUUGCAACAAAAGUGACACAUGAUAGAAGUAUUUUGCACAUAGGUGGAUUUAAUGCAACUAAUUUUCUUACUUCUUAUCAUAGCAAACUUAUUUGUGCCUUGAAAAGAUUUGCUUUCUUUUGUUUGAGAAAACUUUUGUUUUUCAUUUUGGAGAAACUCGUUCAAGUCAUUAAUUCUUUUCUUUAACAAAUUCUGUUCCUCCAACAUUUUUUCAUAAAACUUUGUUUUCUCUUCCAACUUCCUUUUCAAAACAUUUUUUUGAUUUUUUAAAUCAUCAUUUUCCAUUCUCAAACAUUUGUUUUCUUGAAAAAGUUUGGAGUUUUCUUCCAACAAAUCAUUUAUUUUUGUUUUCAAAUCUUUAUUUUUAGCAUAAGAUUUUCUCAAACUUUUAUGCAUUUUAAUCAUAAGAAUUUUCACAUCAUCAUCUUCAUUAUCUUCAUCACAAGAAGAGUGAUAAGAACUUACCUCAUCUUCUCCAACGGCCAUUAGUGCCAUUUGGGCCAACUCUUCUUUUUCUCUUUUUGAAUUGCAUUCAUCCCAUGUAAUUUUGCAAUCUCCUCUUGAACAUCUCUUGUUGAAGAUCUUCUUGAAACUUUUGAUGUGAGGAGUUAUAUCAUUGUCCACUUCCAUGAUUUCAUUACCCAUGAAGGAUGGGUUAUCCCCCACUUGAGAUGCUUUAAAAGCUAUGCCUCUCUUAUACAUUCUUGCAUUUUCUUCCUCUUGCACUUUGAAUUUCAGCUUUAAUUCAUAAGAGGUUAGGGUAUCCACAAGAGAUUCAAUGGACAUAGAAUUUAAAUCCUUUGCCUCUUCUAUAGCAUUUAUUUUGUUUUCCCAUUCUUUUGGCAAGGCAUUCAAAAUCUUUCUAUUUUUCUCACCCAAAGAAUAUUCUUUUCCAAGCAAUUUAAGAUCUUGAAUAAUGUCACAAAAUCUACUACACAUCUUAUCAACAUUUUCAAGAGGAUGCAUUUUGAAAAAUUCAUAUUGAGAAACAAGCAAAGAUUUCUUUUGUUCUUUAAUAUCUUGGUUACCUUCAUGAAAUACACACAAUUUAUCCCAAAUAUCUUUAGCUGAUUUACAACCUUUAAUCCUACUAGAUUCAUUUACAUCUAAUGCAUUGUACAAUAUACACAUGGCCUUGGCAUUCAAAGAAAGGUAUUUCUUGUCUUUUUCAUUCAAUUCUUGUCUAGUCUUUAAUCUACUCAAAUUAGUGAUAGAGUCAAUUAUUCUGGCUUCAUAAGGACCAUCUUCUACCACAUACCAUAAUUCAAUAUAAACGGAUUGUAAGAAAAUCAUCAUUCUUUGUUUCCACAUGCUAAAAUAAGAACCAUUAAACAUAGGUGGUCUAUCAAUAGAUUGCCCUUCUAAAAAAGAAACUUUUAUGGUUGCCAUGAUCUUUACUCUAAGCGGUUAAGCUUGAUCAAAAGAGACCAAGCUCUGAUACCAAUUGUAAGUCCCAAAGACUCUUGUAAGCUUGUAAGCUUGUAUUUUGUGUUGGCAAAAGUCUCUUGUCUUCUUGUGCUUUGGGGUAUUUAUAGAAGGUGAGAAAUGGCUUCAAAAGGCUCUCUAACGGUCAAAUAUUAAAUGCUGUCAAAACUAGCCGUUGGCCUGUCGGACGUCCGAACCACCUGUCGAACGUCCGAAUCCUGCGUCCAAACCACCUGUCGGACGUCCGAACCCUGCGUCCGAACGUUGACAGAAAGUCAUCAAAUCUUUGCGAAAUUUCUCGGACGUCCGAUGCGAUCGAUGUGCGUCCGAGGCGUGCGUCCGAUGCUUCCGGAUGUCCGAUGCUUCCUCACGAGCGUCCGACAGAGUUUCCUUCUUGAUGUUCUUCAUCCUUUCGGACGUCCGAUAGCUUCCUUUCGGACGUCCCACAUAAGUGCCCUGCUUUUGCUUCUUCUAACAAAUUGCUCAUAUAAAAACAUUAGCCCAAAUCUACAUUUUGGUUUGUUAAUCAUCAAAACCAAGGAUUGAUCGACCAAGGUCAACAUAUAAUUAACUAACACUAGAGCAAAUAAUUAUAAAAUGACUAAAUUGAGAAAUAAAAUAUGAGUCUUCACAGUUACCUCUGCUAUAUUAGAAUUUUCAGUAGACCAGUCCCAAACACCUCUUUCAUCAAAGGCCACAUCUUUACUCACCAUCACUUUUUUUGUCACAAGAUUAUAUAACCUAUAAGCUUAGAAAACUUCACUGUAGCCAAUAAAUACACAUUUCUUCCCCUUAUCAUCAAGUUUUUUCCUUAAUUGAUCAUGAACAAGGGAAUAGAUAAUACACCCAAAAACUUUGAGAUGGCCAACAAAAGGUCUUCUACCAUUCCAUACUUCUUCAGGAGUUCUUUUGAGAACACUUCUGAAAGUUCACAUGUUCAACAAAUAAAUUGUACCAAAAAUUGCCUCUACCCAAAAAGAGUUUGGCAUAUUUUUCAGUUUCAACAUAGAUUUUACCAUAUUUAUAACAGUUCUAUUCUUCCUCUUUGUCACUCCAUUUGUUGUGAAGUGUACCUAAUAGUCAACUGAUGCUAUAUUCCAUUUUUCUCAAGAAAAUCAUCACACACCAAAUAUUCUUGAUCCCUAUCAGUUCUCAAAAUUUUAAUCUAAUAGCCACUUUGCUUCUCAACAAAAGUCUUAAAAAUUUUAAAAGUGUCAUAGGCAUCAGAUUUUUGUUUCAAAAAAUACAUCCGGGCUUUUCUACUGAAAUCAUUAAUAAAGGUAAUAAAAUACCUACAAUCACCAUUAGAAGGAACUUUCACAGUGCACAAAUACGAAUGAAUAAUUUUCAUUGGUCUUCUAACCCUUCAGGAUUUGCCUGUUUGAAAGACAACCCUGUGUUGUUUUUUCAAAACACACAGAUUACAAACUUUACCAGAAUUUCUAAUACUAGGUUGCCUACUAAUCAUUUUUCUAUUAGCCAAAAAUCUCAAACCGUCAAAGCCAAUUAUUGUCAUCUAUCAUCAUACUUAAACAAGAAAAAUUGGUAGUACUCAAUUUCAGUGAAAAUAAGCGAUUUGAACUGGCAAUCAUUUUAAUAUUUUUUUUAUUAAAAAUGGUGUAAUUACCAUUCCUAAUGCGAAUAUCAUAUUUUUUUUCUUAGACAAUUGAUCCAUGCUCAACAAAUUAUGAUGCAGCUCAUGAACAUAGAAAACAUCAGAAAUAAAAUUAGUAGACCCAUUUUUUAAACUGAUAGGAAUUUUUUCUCUGACAAACACUAGUAAAAUAAUGUUAUUUCCAAAUUUAAUUUCACCAUCGACAGAUUCGUCAAUCUCAAAAAAUAAUUCUUUCUUGCCAGAUAUAUGAUUGUUGUAACCCAUAUUUAAAUACCAUUUUUUUUAUCAACCACAUCAACAAUAUUACAAGUUAAUAAUAAAAUUUUAGAUUUUUUAUUAUUAUCCUGAACCUGAUUGUCAGUAACAUUAAUCUAAAAAUUUCUGUCUAUAAUUUUUCAAAAUUUGUAUUUAAACUGUCUAUGGCUCAAUUUUUCACAAUUAUAACAUUAAAUUCUCUGUCCAAAAUUAUUUUAAAAUUAUAUUGAUUAAAAUUAUUUUCUUUGCCAAAAUUACCACCUCUGCCUCUACCAUGACUACCUUUAAAAUUAAAAUUAUUACCUCUAUCGCGUCCAAGAUUUGAUGUACCUCCUCUGCCUCUAUUAUUGUUGCCACGACCACCUCUGAUAUUUUAGCCACCUCUAUUAUUGUAGCUUGGAUUCAUCUGACUGAAUUCACUUUGCUCAUUUGCUUCAUUAUUACCUCUCAAAUGCAACUGCAUUUGUAAUACCUUCUCUAUUAUAUCCUUCUCCAGGGUAUUUUCCAACUUUUUAUUCAUUCUUUGCUCAUAUAGAAUUAAUGAUUCCUGCAAUUCUUCAAUACUUAAAAUUUUCCUAAUCUUUAUCUCCUGAAUCACAGCUACUAUAUGAUUAAAAAUCACAGCUACUAUAUGAUUAAAAUUCAUGGAUAGGGUGUUGAGAACUUUCACAAUAAAUGUUCUGGCAAGAACGUCAUACUGAUUAGGUGCGAUCUUGUUUUUAAUAUCUGACAAACGAGAAAAAUAUGAUUCAAUAGACAAGUUUAAAUUUCCUUUUUAAUAUCAUCAAAUUAUUUUGUUGGAUCCUGUUAAUCCUUUUGUAUGUCUUUUCCAAUAUAUCCCAACGCUCCUUUGCUGAGUGAGCCGUAGUAAUUUUUUCAAAAAUUGAUUCAAUAUAUCAAUUAAUUUACAUGCCUUGAGAUGGGUUAUCAUCUGUUUUGGUCAAAAAUUAAAUGUCACCUUUGUUUUGAGUUUUUGGAUAGUACAAAUAAUAUUAAAAUUAGGGUUUACCAUACUUCAAUCUACCGUAACUUUGAUACCACUCUGAUGGAUCCAAAAUAAUAAUCAAACAUAAAUCCACAGGAACAAUCACAAAAAAUUUGAUAUAUGAGGCAAAGGAAAUUUCUUGACUAAUCAUACGAGGCUACGGCUACUGUACAAUACAAGAAAAAGGAAACAACGAGGCUACUGAUUCUUCAAACGAAAACGGCGGCAACAAUACUAAUCCCUUACUGGCUCACUUCUAUUAUUAUUACUAACAGUCUAACAUUAUGGGCCAAAUCCAAUGUAGCUAACUUUACUAAUUUACAAUGCAACGUAUUGUACUAACCAAUAUAUUAAUGACACAUGACCUCAACUAACAUAUAACCAAAUAAACAAAUUACUAAACUUGGUUUAUAUUGUCCUACAAAAACUCUAUGUAAAUAAAAGAGUUGUAAGUUGGGUCCAUCACUUAAAUGUGUUAGACAACCAAACAGUGAAUUAAUUGCUUCGUCUUUUAUGUCUUAGUUCAAUAAGGAUGGGCUUCUGCUAAAAUUGCAGCCACUUCUCUUUCUAUCUUAACUUCUCUCUAUUUUUUCACCUCUUCUCAAAAAACCUUCUUCGGGAGAAAGUCCAAUCCAUGGAUUUUUUUUUUGUUUUUCUAAUAAAGUCUAAUAAAGUUUUUCCUAAAUUUUCUUAGUAAAAAUUUUUCAUUUCUCCUAAAAAUUUUUAGUGAGAAUUUUCGAUUCUUCUAAGGAUUCCUAUGAAGAUUUUUGUAUUUUUUCAUUUUCUAGGGAUUCCUUAUUUCAAUUUCCUUUGAGACCACAUGAUAGUGGUGCAACUUAAUCUUUCCCAACAUUAGUAUCUUGGCAAAAAAAGGGUGCGUAAUUCAAUUCAAUUGGCCAUGAAAGCUGAAAAAUGGAAAUGUGCAAUCACCCUUAAAGAAUACGCAACUGACCUUAUUAGAAAAGGUAAAAGAAAUAAACAAUUAAUUCAUCAUUCCUUCAAAAUAAAAAUCAUAAGUAUUUCAUCUCAGGAAUACUUUACUACCAAAAUUUGUAGGCAAAACUGCACUCGGCUUUAAGGAAUAAUAUAUAUUUCGGGAACGAGCAAUUGAACUGCACCCUUGUAUGUAAGGAUUUGCUUGUACGCCUUGUGGUUUGCAAAUAUCAAUUGCACCAUAAGAAAAAUAUCUUGCGAUUAAUAGACAGAGCUCCCGUCCGGCUGCAGGGAAAAUUUUUCGGGGUGGUGCUGCCCGAGUUAGGAGUACCUUCGCCGGUGGCAAAAGGGGCGGAAGACGAAGGACUUGGAUGCAAACUAAUUCGCUUUCUAUCACUUGUUUUUUGAUUGAUUAUUUUAACUGAUUAUAGAUUCUAAUUUUGGAUAAUUAGUUUUUGUAAUAUUUUCGAUUACUUUUGUCUUCUGAUCAUGAAUUUUCUAAUCACUAAAAAAGUUAAAAUUCAUAAUCACCCAAAAGAGUAGUUUUUGCUUAUCAUUAAUUUCUGUAAUCAGAUUUUGUAAAGUCUAAAAUAAUCAAGAAUAGUGCCAUAGAAACUCAAUUAUUCAACUUCAAUUUGUAAAGAAAACCGUGACAUACAAACUAAUGAAAAGGGCAAGUAGUACUUCUUCUUAAUUUCUGCAUGUUCUAUGCUUUAAGUUAAAUUGAAUUACAAGGGUAAUAAAUAUCCAAAAUAAGAAAAAGAUGGACAUCACUAUAUUGAUCUCUUCUUCUUCUAUAACGAGUAGUUUCUUAGUUUUCAAAGCUACUUUAACUGAACGUAAUGGACCAUUACUGGAGAAACUAAUGAAUGAACGUGACCUGUGUACCACUUGGCAUAGUAAAUCAAUUAAAGAGAGAUUUUUUUUCUUUUCUUUUCUUUUUUAUUGGUAUGAAUAUUUUCUGAACUCAUUACGAAGCACAGUUUUGGCAGUAAAUAUGCUGCCAUGCAACCAGAUAUGCAUAUUAAAAUUCCUUCACCAAUAACAAAAUACUUGUCCUGAACCAACAUAAACAGUUUGCAAACUUGCACACUGAAAACUCAAAUGGAUGCCAAUAUACUCAAUAUUCUUGCAUACUUUUCCAUUUUCAGGACAAAGUAUUUAUCAAAGAGAAAAAUUUAUGCAAAUUUAAUCCAAAUGAAAGGGAAUCAGCAAAGUAAAUUAGCAAGAAGCCUCAAAGAGGGAGACUCAAACCUACCUAACUCCAAAUUAUGACCAAAGUGAAUCGUAUGGUCAAUAAAAUGUACCCAUGCAGAGAUUUCAUCCAGUUGCCAACGUCAAUUGGAAUUUAUGACCAAACUUCACAAAGUUUAAGUUUGGACCAAAGGAGAAGUUUCAUAUUUUAGAUAAAGCUAUCUCCUCUUCUAGGUUGAGAAUAUAAACCCCUAAACUUGAUUUAUAUCACCACUAGGUGUACUUAUGACGGACCAAACUACAAGAGCUCUCGUCAAAACACAUUUUUAUCCAUUAUAGAUAGAAAAAUGUGAACGCCAAAUAUUAUCAUGAAUAAUAAUUUAGUAAAAUAAGUAGUUUGAGAGCUUCUGCAUCUUACGAAUUUACUAAAUUACAAUCAACACAUGCACAAUCUCUUCAUAUAUUUAAUUUUCUACAAACACUUGAAAUGUAGGUCUAUACAAUUUACCAUUAUUUCAUAAACAAGGAUUUUAAAUACAAUACUAUAAUAAUACACUCCAAAACACCUAACCAUCUACAUUAAAAGUUUUUCACACUAUCAUAAAAGUUUUGAAAGAUAUCCUCAAAACAUCUAAUCCAUACGUAUAUUUCCAUUGCAUGGGCUCAUUUUUUUCUGGGCUUAACUAGGGUUGGAUCACUCUGAGUCCAACUUUAUUAAUAGGGAAUCAGGUCCAGUCCGCUUUUAUUGGCCACUUUAUUUUGGUGGGAGUGGGGGACGGCAACGGGUAUAAUAAUUACAUGGUCUUUCUGGUGGGGGCCGCAAACAAUAGGCGUAUCGUAUUUUGUUGCAAAUUGGAUGCCUUUGUAAUGGCCCAUAACCUAUGGAUCCACCGCCUCCAUCUUUAGGAGCAGAGUUUGUAGGAGAACUUC
rnacentral:lncRNA from 1 species